rnacentral:rRNA from 1 species
UACGGAAGGCAGCAGUGGGGAAUAUUGCACAAUGGGCGCAAGCCUGAUGCAGCCAUGCCGCGUGUAUGAAGAAGGCCUUCGGGUUGUAAAGUACUUUCAGUCGUGAGGAAGGUGUUAAGGUUAAUAACCUUAGCAAUUGACGUUAGCGACAGAAGAAGCACCGGCUAACUCCGUGCCAGCAGCCGCGGUAAUACGGAGGGUGCGAGCAUUAAUCGGAAUUACUGGGCGUAAAGGGCACGCAGGCGGUUAAUUAAGUUGGAUGUGAAAUCCCCGGGCUUAACCUGGGAAUGGCAUUCAAGACUGGUUAGCUAGAGUCUUGUAGAGGGGGUAGAAUUCCAUGUGUAGCGGUGAAAUGCGUAGAGAUGUGGAGGAAUACCGGUGGCGAAGGCGGCCCCUGGACAAAGACUGACGCUCAUGUGCGAAAGCGUGGGGAGCAAACAGGAUUAGAUACC